rnacentral:misc_RNA from 1 species
GAAAUGCGAUAAGUAAUGUGAAUUGCAGAAUUCAGUGAAUCAUCGAAUCUUUGAACGCACCUUGCGCUCCUUGGUAUUCCUUGGAGCAUGCCUGUUUGAGUAUCAUGAAAUCUUCAAAGUAAAUCUUUUGUUAACUCAAUUGGUUUCUACUUUGGUAUUGGAGGUCUUUGCAGCUUCACACCUGCUCCUCUUUGUUCAUUAGCUGGAUCUCAGUGUUAUGCUUGGUUCCACUCGGCGUGAUAAGUUAUCUAUCGCUGAGGACACUGUAAAAGGUGGCCAAGGUAAAUGCAGAUGAACCGCUUCUAAUAGUCCAUUGACUUGGACAAUACUUUUAUGAUCUGAUCUCAAAUCAGGUAGGACUAUCUGCUGAACUUAAGC